AUAUCUUUCUCCGCCUUUUGGCUAAGAUCAAGUGUAGUAUCUGUUCUUAUCAGUUUAAUAUCUGAUAUGUGGGCCAAAUGCCCAAACGAUAUUAAAUUUAUUUUUUUAUGGGGGAGGAUCCAGGACAAUGGCUUACCAUUGGGGCCCUUAGGUGUUGCACUACAGCCCAGGCAGGCGCACCCCAA
rfam:Triticum aestivum genome assembly, contig: Triticum_aestivum_CS42_TGACv1_scaffold_487830_6AS